UAGGUCCAUGAGCUGAUUCCGGCUGUGAUGACCUGCAUUGUGAGCAGACAGUUGUGCCUGCGACCAGAUGUGGACAAUCACUGGGCACUCCGAGACUUUGCUGCCCGCCUGGUGGCCCAGAUCUGCAAGCAUUUUAGCACAACCACUAACAACAUCCAGUCCCGGAUCACCAAGACCUUCACCAAGAGCUGGGUGGACGAGAAGACGCCCUGGACAACUCGUUAUGGCUCCAUCGCAGGCUUGGCUGAGCUGGGACACGAUGUUAGGCUUCUGGGAGGAAGAAAUGGGGGAGGGGACGCAGUCAUGAGGUUAUAGAGGGCACUGUACCCCCAUCUGGGAGACCCUGGUGACCCUCCGGCUUUCGCUUCUCCCUUUCCCUUCCAA
rnacentral:sRNA from 1 species